rnacentral:rRNA from 1 species
CAUGAGUUUGAUCCUGGCUCAGAUUGAACGCUGGCGGCAGGCCUAACACAUGCAAGUCGAACGGUAGCACAGAGGAGCUUGCUCCUUGGGUGACGAGUGGCGGACGGGUGAGUAAUGUCUGGGAAACUGCCCGAUGGAGGGGGAUAACUACUGGAAACGGUAGCUAAUACCGCAUAACGUCGCAAGACCAAAGAGGGGGACCUUCGGGCCUCUUGCCAUCGGAUGUGCCCAGAUGGGAUUAGCUAGUAGGUGGGGUAACGGCUCACCUAGGCGACGAUCCCUAGCUGGUCUGAGAGGAUGACCAGCCACACUGGAACUGAGACACGGGUCCAGACUCCGUACGGGGAGGCAGCAGUGGGGAAUAUUGCACAAUGGCGCAAGCCCUGAUGCAGCCAUGCCGCGUGUAUGAAGAAGGCCU